rnacentral:rRNA from 1 species
UUUGGUGGCUCGACGCUGGGGUCACACCUCUUCCCAUUUCGAACAGAGAAGUUAAGCCCAGUAGUGGCGAUGAUAGUCCCUCGGGGCGAAAGUAGCUAGCCGCCAGAA